rnacentral:rRNA from 1 species
UGAGAGCUUGCUUUUGAUUAUUUUAGCGGCGGACGGGUGAGUAACGUGUGGGUAACCUGCCUUUUACUGUGGAAUAAUCGUUGGAAACGACGACUAAUACCGCAUACGGUUCUUGGAAGGCAUCUUCUAAGAAAGAAAGGAUUUAUUCGGUAAAAGAUGGGCCCGCAUCUGAUUAGCUAGUUGGUGAGAUAACAGCCCACCAAGGCAACGAUCAGUAGCCGACCUGAGAGGGUGACCGGCCACAUUGGGACUGAGACACGGCCCAAACUCCUACGGGAGGCAGCAGUGGGGAAUAUUGCACAAUGGGCGAAAGCCUGAUGCAGCAACGCCGCGUGAAGGAAGACGGUUUUCGGAUUGUAAACUUCUAUCAAUAGGGAAGAAAGAAAUGACGGUACCUAAAUAAGAAGCCCCGGCUAACUACGUGCCAGCAGCCGCGGUAAUACGUAGGGGGCAAGCGUUAUCCGGAAUUACUGGGUGUAAAGGGAGAGUAGGCGGCAAGGUAAGCGAUAUGUGAAAGCCUUAAGCUUAACUUAAGGAUUGCAUAACGAACUAUCUAGCUAGAGUACAGGAGAGGAAAGCGGAAUUCCUAGUGUAGCGGUGAAAUGCGUAGAUAUUAGGAAGAACACCAGUGGCGAAGGCGGCUUUCUGGACUGAAACUGACGCUGAGGCUCGAAAGCGUGGGGAGCGAACAGGAUUAGAUACCCUGGUAGUCCACGCUGUAAACGAUGAGUGCUAGGUGUCGGGGAGGAAUUCCCGGUGCCGGAGCAAACG